rnacentral:rRNA from 1 species
GGGUGAGUAAUGUCUGGGAAACUGCCUGAUGGAGGGGGAUAACUACUGAAACGGUAGCUAAUACCGCAUAACGUCGCAAGACCAAAGAGGGGGACCCUCGGGCCUCUUGCCAUCGGAUGUGCCAGAUGGGAUUAGCUUGUUGUGGGGUAACGGCUCACCAAGGCGACGAUCCCUAGCUGGUCUGAGAGGAUGACCAGCCACACUGGAACUGAGACACGGUCCAG